UGAUGUGACAAUGGUUCGAACAUAAAACCAAGCAAUGUUUACCAAAACAAAUUUCGAGAUACGGUCGGCAAUUCAACCAUAACAAUAAUUUACAAAUAAUAAUAAACGUCGGAAGCAAAAAAAACGGGAAUGGAAGUGACUAGGGUUUAAAAGUUUCAAAAGAAUGCAUUGCGCGUAAUUCAUCAAUCAGCGAGUUUAAAAUGCAAUCGUGGAAAAGUUCUAUAAAUGUGGUUUACAUACAAAGGAAGGAAUGAAGCCAGUUCUGUCAUGUACAAUUUGACAAAGAUGAAAUAGAGCCAUCGAACGCGAUGAUUUUACGAAUAGAAAUUCCUCAUCCAAACAAGCCGUGCCACAUAUAGUAAAACAAGACUUGGAAUAAGUGUGACGUGAACCAAAAACCAUCAU